CAACUCCAUUUAUUUUUGAUAAUGCUCAUGUUGAUUUGAGUUCCUAAUUUCAAACUUCCCUUACAGUUUUAAAGGUCCCUGAUCCUCUGCAACCAUGAUCAAAUUGAAAGCCACCAGCGGCGUCCCGGUAAAGUAAUAGAACUUCCCUGCGACUAUCCCACCCACAUUCAAUGCUGGACUGACUGGUUUGACAGAGAUGACCCCACUGUAACUGGAGACUGGGAAACCUUCUCCGAUCUUUACAACGACAACCCUGGAAAGAUCUGCCCUGAACCACAGGGUAUAGAGGCCAC